GAUGAACGCUGGCUACAGGCUUAACACAUGCAAGUCGAGGGGAAACGACGGGGAAGCUUGCUUCCCCGGGCGUCGACCGGCGCACGGGUGAGUAACGCGUAUCCAACCUGCCUCUGACUGAGGGAUAACCCGUCGAAAGUCGGCCUAAUGCCUCAUGGCAUCGUCUGCGGGCAUCCAACGACGAUUAAAGAUUUCAUCGGUCAGGGAUGGGGAUGCGUCUGAUUAGCUUGUUGGCGGGGUAACGGCCCACCAAGGCUACGAUCAGUAGGGGUUCUGAGAGGAAGGUCCCCCACAUUGGAACUGAGACACGGUCCAAACUCCUACGGGAGGCAGCAGUGAGGAAUAUUGGUCAAUGGGCGGGAGCCUGAACCAGCCAAGUAGCGUGCAGGAUGACGGCCCUAUGGGUUGUAAACUGCUUUUAUGCGGGGAUAAAGUGAGGGACGUGUCCUUCAUUGCAGGUACCGCAUGAAUAAGGACCGGCUAAUUCCGUG
rnacentral:rRNA from 1 species